rnacentral:rRNA from 1 species
GAAUUCGCCCUUAGAGUUUGAUCCUGGCUCAGGACGAACGCUGGCGGCGUGCCUAACACAUGCAAGUCGAGCGGAGACAGUGAGUAGCUUGCUAUGAGCUGUUUUAGCGGCGGACGGGUGAGUAACGCGUGAGCAACCUUUCCCAGACAGGGGAAUAACACACCGAAAGGUGUACUAAUACCGCAUAAGACCACGGGAUCACAUGGUUCUGGGGUAAAAGAAUUAUCGGUUUGGGGUGGGCUCGCGUCCGAUUAGCUAGUUGGUGAGGUAACGGCCCACCAAGGCGACGAUCGGUAGCCGGACUGAGAGGUUGAACGGCCACAUUGGGACUGAGACACGGCCCAGACUCCUACGGGAGGCAGCAGUGGGGAAUAUUGCACAAUGGGGGAAACCCUGAUGCAGCGACGCCGCGUGGAGGAAGAAGGUCUUCGGAUUGUAAACUCCUGUUGUUGAGGAAGAUAAUGACGGUACUCAACAAGGAAGUGACGGCUAACUACGUGCCAGCAGCCGCGGUAAAACGUAGGGUGCAAGCGUUGUCCGGAAUUACUGGGUGUAAAGGGAGCGCAGGCGGGAAGACAAGUUGGAAGUGAAAACCAUGGGCUCAACCCAUGAAUUGCUUUCAAAACUGUUUUUCUUGAGUAGUGCAGAGGUAGAUGGAAUUCCCGGUGUAGCGGUGGAAUGCGUAGAUAUCGGGAGGAACACCAGUGGCGAAGGCGGUCUACUGGGCACCAACUGACGCUGAGGCUCGAAAGCAUGGGUAGCAAACAGGAUUAGAUACCCUGGUAGUCCAUGCCGUAAACGAUGAUUACUAGGUGUUGGGGGAUUGACCCCCUCAGUGCCGCAGUUAACACAAUAAGUAAUCCACCUGGGGAGUACGACCGCAAGGUUGAAACUCAAAGGAAUUGACGGGGGCCCGCACAAGCAGUGGAGUAUGUGGUUUAAUUCGAAGCAACGCAAAGAACCUUACCAGGUCUUGACAUCCGAUGCAUAACACAGAGAUGUGUGAAAUCCUUCGGGACAUCGAGACAGGUGGUGCAUGGUUGUCGUCAGCUCGUGUCGUGAGAUGUUGGGUUAAGUCCCGCAACGAGCGCAACCCUUAUUGCCAGUUACUACGUUAAGAGGACUCUGGCGAGACUGCCGUUGACAAAACGGAGGAAGGUGGGGAUGACGUCAAAUCAUCAUGCCCUUUAUGACCUGGGCUACACACGUACUACAAUGGCGUUAAACAAAGAGAAGCAAGACCGCGAGGUGGAGCAAAACUCAAAAACAACGUCUCAGUUCAGAUUGCAGGCUGCAACUCGCCUGCAUGAAGUCGGAAUUGCUAGUAAUCGCGGAUCAGCAUGCCGCGGUGAGUACGUUCCCGGGCCUUGCACACACCGCCCGUCA